UCCAUUAAUACAUGAAUGCAUUGAAAUAUAAAUUAAAUUUACAUUCCGUUCACAUUUAGCUAUAUUUAAGUUUAUACAAUUCAUUCAAAAUCAAGUUUUGUCACUACGUAGCCAAACACGUCUUAUUGCACUAAUCUUUCUCAAUUUAAGGAGAAUAAUAAGAAUAAUGACAUGAAGAAAUUAUUUGUUGAACACAUACAAAGGCUAUAUAUCAUACACGCACAGAAAGUAAUGAUAUCUCAACUCUCAAGAGCUAUAUACACCUACGGCCUUGCACUACAAUAGGAAGAAUUUUGCUGAAGUAUACUUUUUACUUAAGUAUGAAAAACUCAUACAUAUAUUCCUAAUCCAACUUCCUUUGGAUUUGUUUCAAUCAUCCAUGAAAGCUAACUUGUUCAGUGCAAAGUUAAUCGUUCCUUGGCUAGCACGCUUUAGAAGAACUUCUCUUGCUUCAAUUGGAAUUCCUUGAGGCUACAUUUAUAGUUCAACAAAAUAGUCAUAGCACAAAGGAAACUUAUUUAUGUUUGAUAUAACAUCUUUGAAAUGUAACCAAAAGAAGAAAGAUUGAAACUUAGAUGCUAAUAUACCUCUUCCGGAAACCAAACCCCAGGCUGUGUGCUUCCUUCAAGAACUGCUAGU
rnacentral:lncRNA from 1 species